rnacentral:rRNA from 1 species
UACAGAGGGGGCAAGCGUUGUUCGGAAUUACUGGGCGUAAAGGGCGCGUAGGCGGCCAACUAAGUCAGACGUGAAAUCCCCAGGCUCAACCUGGGAACUGCGUCUGAUACUGGAUGGCUCGAGUUCGGGAGAGGGAAGCGGAAUUCCAGGUGUAGCGGUGAAAUGCGUAGAUAUCUGGAGGAACACCGGUGGCGAAGGCGGCUUCCUGGACCGACACUGACGCUGAGGCGCGAAAGCCAGGGGAGCAAACGGG